AAUGAACGCUGGCGGCAGGCCUAACACAUGCAAGUCGAGCGAGCAUUUCGGUGCUAGCGGCGGACGGGUGAGUAACGCGUGGGAACGUGCCCUUUUCUGCGGAAUAGUCCUGGGAAACUGGGGGUAAUACCGCAUACGCCCUUUUGGGGAAAGAUUUAUCGGAGAAGGAUCGGCCCGCGUUGGAUUAGGUAGUUGGUGGGGUAAUGGCCCACCAAGCCGACGAUCCAUAGCUGGUUUGAGAGGAUGAUCAGCCACACUGGGACUGACACGGCCCAGACUCCUACGGGAGGCAGCAGUGGGGAAUCUUAGACAAUGGGGGCAACCCUGAUCGAGCCAUGCCGCGUGAGUGAUGAAGGCCUUAGGGUUGUAAAGCUCUUUCAGCUGGGAAGAUAAUGACGGUACCAGCAGAAGAAGCCCCGGCUAACUCCGUG
rnacentral:rRNA from 1 species